AGCACUCCAUUGCAUCUCAGUUGAUGUAGGACAAGCUUGUGAUCCAUCGCACCUGUGCAAGACCAAAGCAAAGAAAAAUGGCAGCUUUUUUCUCACUUUCUCCUGAAGCUUUUCUGGAAAUCCAGACACGAGAUUCCUGUUUUGAAGCAGACUUACCAGUUAGCAUGAACUGGUAUGCAUUGUCAGAGAUGGAGAAGAUGUGGGGAGGCGCCUCAGUACGCUUUUUGCCCCGAUAACCAGCUACCACCUCUGGAUUGUACACAGGCAACCAUUUGUAUGGAUUAAUAGUGACACAGAAGAGGCCUGAAUAGGUCUGCAUGGAAACCAAGAAUGGUGAUUAAAAAUCUGCCCCCUUUGAUACCCUUCGGUCCUGAUAACAGAAAGAAGAAAGAAACUGGAUGAAAUGCUCAACCUGCAAAGGAACAGACAAAAUAUGUGAUAAUGCAUCCAGGAUCCUCUGGCAGCCCAACAGCUGAGAAUUUGUUAGUCUUCCCAUAUGCAAAAGCUCAAAAUACACACAAAGAAUGGACUGCACAAUAAUUCUUCACCAUAGAAAAGUGCCUUUAAUCUCAUGGCAUUCUAAAGUCCCCUAAAAUAGGAGACUAUUCCUGUAUUUUUAUUUUUUUUUAGAAAAAAGAUGAGGGCAAAGGCAGAUUUAAAAACAAAAGAAA